GCACUUUUUUGGGAACAAAUAUUGGUAUUUUAUUUAUAACUCAACAAAAAACAUACAAGGAAAAAUGGCCUAAAUAAAACACAAAUAAAAACAAAAGAGAACCGGCAGCCCAACCACCACAUAUGAUCCAUACCAUUUAAUACAUAUAAAUUGUGAUAGGAUUUCCUAAUCCACCUAACCCCUUUCUUACCUAAACCUUCUAACACCUGAGAGAUGUUUUCACUGCAUUUCAGCUUCCAAAUGACCUUUCUCCUCCUUUGGAUUAUCGACACUUUACCCAAAUCGACAACCAUGUUCCUUAAAUAAGCUUUCAAAUGUAAGCUCAUCUGUUUAUCAUUCCUUUGUCUAUUCAAAUCCAGUGGUAAGUGUAAGUGGAAUCUCUUUUUUGUUGAGGGUGCUCGUUCAAGAUUGUAGGUAUCCGUCACCAACUAUGUAACAAACAACUUCCAACUUUGCAUUUUAUUUCUCUUCUGAAUGAACUAUCUUUGCAGGUGAAACACAUGGUGGAGUGCAAGGAAAUCUUCACAGUUCUUCCUAAUGGUGCCAAAUUCCUCCAUCAGAUUACACAUGUCAGAUCUGACCCUAUCCCCUUUAUUUUUGCCAAGUCCUUUUUAAAGGUUGUAGAUUGAUAGGCUAUUUAUCAUUUUCAAUUUUUUGUUACCUAAAGGCAAAUGGAAAUAUGCAAAUAUUCUAUGUGAAGAAACUAUAUUUUUAGCCUUCGUAGUAUAACUCCCCGAGAGUAUACCCAGGGUGUCACAUGGUGCUUACAGUCCCGAGGGACUACAAGCUAACCCAUGAGCUGGUACCUACUGUGAGCACUAAAUAAUAUAAUAACAUAUGCGAAAGAACAACUAAUAAGCCAUAAGGUUUUAGCAACUAAAAUCAAUGCUGGAUCAUGACUUUGGAAACAACUGUCGAAAACUAAUAAAACAAUAAGAAAACUGAUUGACUGUCUAUACUAGUCUGAAAAAGCCUCUACUGACUGACUAUGGAGUAGAUAGGACAAAGCCCCAACUAGCUCCAUCUGAAUAGAAAAUACUGAGAUAUUAAAAUAACUAAGUUAAAUAGACCAUGUCCUCAAAAUAUGAAGACUCACCACUGCUACGACUGGAAAUCCAGAAUGUCUAUGUGCUAUCUGGAAACUGAGCAUCCGAACCUAUGAUAUGAUACAUCAUAGUGCAAAAAAUGUGCGUGUGAUCAGUACUUUGAAUGUACUAGUAUGCAAAAUAAGGUAGGCUGAUAUGUAUUGUUUUAUGUACAGGAGUAUUAACUCACUGAAUGGAUAGCAUGAAGUACUGAAUGGAUUGCAUGAAAUUUGUAAAUACUAAGAAUUCAUGAUCAAGCAUAAAACAUAUUCUAAAUAUAAUUUGUAAACUAAAAUACUAAAUUAUGAUGACUGAAUAAUUGAUAUCUGCAUGCUAUGGUAAAUACAAUCCUGACUAAAGUACACUGACUACUGAACUGAGACUGUGGGAGCUAUCAUCUAAUCGACAUGCCCCAAUGAGUAAUUUGGGGUCUAUCCUGUAACCCCAGUUAGAAGGGUGUUAGUACCGUGCCACAGGUAUUAACACUGGCUGUAUGGAUCCAUUGAAAUAUUAUCUCUAAGGACUAAGGGUGUUAAGCCUAAACUGAUGGGUGACCCCUGGAAGGUAGCCAAGCCUGAACUAAUGGGUGACUUCUCAAAUCUUACGCUUUCUACGUAGUUCUAAAGUAUAGGUACUGAUACUAACGACUCUGGCUAACUGACGGGGAAUUCAUCAUCCCAGUACUCGCUCGGUGCUAAAUCUAACUCCCAACUGAACUGACUCAGAAUACUGAACUGUUUUAAAUUUAGCUGAUCAUGACAACUGACUGAACUGAUAUUGCUCAUAACAUGUCUAAAACUAAUCUGAAUAUACUGAGGCUAGUAAAAAAAACUAAGUUUUCGGGUAUUCAUAACCCCCAGGACUCGAUAGAAAUAAUAGCAAAAUAGUACUAAAACUUUGGGGACAUAAUAUGAAAGCAUUUAUUCAAAAUUCAUUCUUGUAGGCAUUCAUCAAACACUUGAUAUGCAUAGUGUAAACUAAGCAUGGGAAUAGUUUAAUGCUUGUAGUAAUAGCAUGAUUUCAACAUCAACAUUACUAAUUAUAGUUUAAAUCAGCAAAUAACAUUAUUCAAAUGUGUGGGGUUUGAUAACAACAAUAAUUUCAUAUAAACAUGGUAUAGAAUCAAGAUUCAUGGGGAUUCAUGUAAAAUCACAAUUAAAAUCAAAAUAACUAGUAAAAAUAAUAACUUGGACUUUUCAAUUAGAUUCUUGGACUCCAUGGGUGAAAGGGACUCAUGGAUGAACAUUUAAUAUACCUUAGUUGGUGAAAUUGAGAAAGUUCUUGAUUAAUUCUUGAAGUUUGAUCUUGAAUGUUAGAUGAGUUAGGGUUUGUUUCUUGAAAGAGGGCUACUUUAAUUUGUGAGGAUUGUGUAACAAUGAGCAAAUAAUACUCUCUUAGGACUUAAAUCUCGUGUUUGGGCUGAAUAAGGUGAAGGAAAGGGACUUAAAUGACCUUUGGAAAUUAAAACUCGAAACUAGACUAGAAAUCCCAAUUUCGGCCUUCAGCGUGACGCGGUGCAAUUGCUUCGGGCCACUGGAAAAGGACAAUCCUUAUUUUAUCCAACUGUGCGAUACGGUGCUAUUGCAUCGCACCACUAGAAAAGAACAAUCCCGAACCAACACUUUGGUCCAAUGCGGCACCAUUGCGGUGCUCCACUGAAUGUGAAUUUUCCCCUUAGUGUGACGCGGCAUUAUCAGGUGGUCUACUGGAAAAGGAUGAGCCAUCACCGCGACUCAGCCUUAUCAUGUCGGGCUACUAUUUUCCACUAAAAGUAUCAUAAAUUCUCACCUGAGUAUCAGAUUUAGGCAAAAUUGGUAUCAUUGAAAAGAUAAUUCAAUUUUCUAUAAUUUGGUGGGUAUUGAGAUGGAAAAUUCUGAUUAUAAAAAAAUAUAUUCUCAUUUGAAGUUAACUAAAGAAACAUUCUUACCAAAAACUCAAUCGGUAAGGAAUAUUUUGAUUCGUCUAAUUGCUAGGAGUUCUUUGAGGCGUUAAUAUACUCCAAACUCAAACAUAAAACUACCAAAUAACUAAAAUUUAUUUUGCAUGAGCUUAUAAUAUGGCUCUAACAUAGGUUUGGAUUUUCAAGGUAUUACACAUAGCCCCUUCAUCCUUUGAUGGAUCAAACUCUUAAAUAUGGGCUUUGUAGUUUAUUAGUAUGUAAGAUCCUUCUGCCUUUUGUUUCCAUGCUCUUAAAUUAUUGAUAGUUGUAAUUACCUGAUAUCGGACAAAUGGUCAUCUUAUCUUUUGAUGACAUCUUUAGAGGCCAACACAUAGAGGCUCAAGACUUCGUCACCUCAAGGAUAAGAGAACAUGCAUGGAGGAUCCAUUUUGAGCAUGUCAUUAAACAAACCCGUCUGUGGAAGAUUACGUGGGAGAUUACAUUUGAUACCAAUUCAAGACUACAAGUUUUGAAGCGUGGCCCCAUAGUUUUGGAUCAUUGAAGAAGCACCCUUCAUUAAGAGUAUUUUGGGGAUUGCACAUGUUAAAUAAACAACCCAUGACCUCCUCUUUCAUUAAGGGUAUUUUGAUCCAUUAUACUGUGUAAUAAGC
rnacentral:lncRNA from 1 species